GCCCUGGUGUUGCUUCAGUCACCUGCUCGCGGCUCACCCCCCUAAAAUUUCUGGCACCACCCCAGUAAAAAAUAUGAAAAUCCGUCUAUGCAUGGAUUUGCUAGCAAAAUAGCAGCAAUUGAUGAACUUGGUGUUAUACUAAGAUUUACUGAAUGUGUAAAGAAACAACGAAAAGUAUAUAUCAAUCAGGGUCAUUAUCUUGAUCAAUUUCCGAUGGGAUCUCCAAAGAAAGUAGCUACAUGUGCAGACAACAUGAAACUUCAGACUGCAGAAAAUUUCACAAUCCGUUAUCAAACUUAUGUCACAGAAGUGGUAAAGGACAUAUGUGACAACUGAAUGAUACCUUUUGUAAAUUUUUUGGCCAGGGGUGGGUAUUUAUUUUUUAAUUGAUAUUUGAGGUUGGGUAAUCAAUUUUUUUUACUUUUUAAUGGUUGGGUCAGCAAAAUUUUUGCUACGAAAAACAUUUCUCUUCGGUACCACCCCCCGCCAUAAAUAAUGACCGGUCCCUUACUACAAAACAAAUGUGCAUGAAGUAUUGUCGUCUCCUCAACAGUCUCAUGCAAUCCGAACCGCUGACGCGAACGUCUUUGUUAUAAUAAUUUCAAACUGAUAGGAUUUUUGACGAUUUUUUUUUAGUUUUAGUUUUAGUAGGAUUUUCUCUUUUAAUAUUAAAUAAUGAGUUUUAGUUCUUAAUUGAUAAUGCUGCUGUGUUUCUUG